rnacentral:rRNA from 1 species
CAGCAGCCGCGGUAAUACCAGCUCUCCGAGUUGUGGGGACGUUUAUUGAGCCUGAAGCAUCCGUAGCCGGCUGUGCAAGUCCCCUGUUAAAUCCAGCGAUAAAUCGUUGGCCUGCGGGGGAUACUGCUCGGCUAGGGGGCGGGAGAGGCCGUCGGUAUUCUUGGGGUAGGGGUGAAAUCCUAUAAUCCCAGGAGGACCACCAGUGGCGAAGGCUGUCGGCUAGAACGCGCUCGACGGUGAGGGAUGAAAGCUGGGGGAGCGAACCGGAUUAGAUACCCGGGUAGUCCCAGCUGUAAACGAUGCAGGCUAGGUGUUAGGGCGGCUACGUGCCGCUCUAGUGCCGCAGGGAAGCUGUUAAGCCUGCCGCUUGGGGAGUACGGCCGCAAGGCUGAAACUCAAAGGAAUUGACGG